GUAGUCCACGCCGUAAACUAUGGAUGCUAGCUGUAUUCGGUAUCGACCCCGGAUGUAGCGAAGCUAACGCGUUAAGCAUCCCGCCUGUGGAGUACGGUCGCAAGACUAAAACAUAAAGGAAUUGACGGGGACCCGCACAAGCGGUGGAGCGUGUCGUUUAAUUCGAUGGUAAGCGAAGAACCUUACCCAGGCUUGACAUCCUUGGAAUUUCUCCGAAAGGAGAAAGUGCCUUUGGAACCAAGUGACAGGUGAUGCAUGGCCGUCGUCAGCUCGUGUCGUGAGAUGUUAGGUUAAGUCCUUUAACGAGCGCAACCCUUAUAGUUAGUUGUAUUUCUCUAGCUAGACUGCCCUGGUAACAGGGAGGAAGGGGGGGAUGAUGUCAGGUCAGUAUUUCCCUUACGUCUGGGGCUACAAACACGCUACAAUGGCCGGUACAAAGGGCAGCCAAGUCGCAAGACGGAGCAAACCCCAUCAAAGCCGGUCUCAGUUCGGAUAGCAGGCUGAAACUCGCCUGCUUGAAGCUGGAAUCGCUAGUAACGGUGAGUCAGCACAUCACCGUGAAUACGUUCCCGGGUCUUGUACACACCGCCCGUCAAACCAUGAAAGUCGCCAAUACCUGACGUGCUAGCUUGCCUAGCCCUAAGGUAGGGGAGAUGAUUGGGGUU
rnacentral:rRNA from 1 species